UUUAAAUUUAAUUUUUUACAACUUAAACUUAAUAUUUUGUUUAAAAUUAUGAGAAAUAAAAACUUACCGACAUGAAAACAGCGUUAUCUACUCGAUUUGGAAGCCGUAACUGUCAGGGGUGAUGGGAAAAGUUAAAAAAAAACAGUAAGAAGAGAUUAACGGACUCUUUCGAUGAACAAGUCAUCAGAAAUACAAUCCAUGAAUGCCAUAACAGUAAUGCGUGUGUCACAAUACCCAGACUACACGCCAUGUUGGAGAAAAGAAAAUCAAAACAGGAUGCACCAAGACACUGGAGAGAACAGUUACAAGGAUGGGCUUUAGAUUGAAAAGGACACUAAACCGCCUUUAAACUGAAGUAAAGUACAGGACAUUAAAAAUUGGCUUGAAAUGAAUGAAAUUGCAUUCGAGGAGGGUAUGAAAAAAACGGAGCUGUUGGACCUGGUUCGCAAAACAGGUUGUAAAUCACAAUAUGUGAUAGACAAAAUUGCCAGUGACAACGGCCAUGAAGUUCUUAGACUCCCUCCUCGUCACUGCGAACUGAACCCCAUUGAACUGAUUUGGGCACAACUGAAAAAUCAUGUUGCGAAAGAAAAUAAUAUGUUUAAAUUAAAGGGGGUGUUAAAUUUAUUCCACGAAUCAAAAAGUUUAAUUUUGAAAGAAAACUGGGAGAAAGCUGUAGUGCAUGUAGAGAAAGUGGAACAGGCUUUGUGUGAACAAGAUGGAGUUCAAGAAAAUGAGAUUGAUAUGGUUGUGGUAUGUUUCGAUGAUGAUAGUGAAUUGGAGACUGAAACUGACUGUGUGGAUUGUGAACGUUGCUAUAGUGAUACAUUUGUAUUAGAUGAUGAUGAUGAUGAUGUUCCAUGUGCCUUGUGUUUGCAGAGAGAUCCUCCAGAUGUGGGUCAUCAUGGCAGUGAGGUUGAGUGGGUGCAGUGUGAAAUGUGCGAUAGGUGGAUGCAUGAAGUCUGUUCAGGGAGAAAGAACAAAAAAGGUUGUUUUGAAUGCAAAAAUUGUUUUUAAAUAAUUUCAGUAAAGCAUGUGGAAGAUUGAAUGUUAAAGGUAUGUUUUAUGACAUGAUCAUUAUGACACUUGGUGUGCGUGCGUGUGUGUGUGUGUGUGUUUAAAAUUACUGGGUUUCGGAAUAACAAAAUCAUAAACAUCAUACUAUACCAAGAACUUUUGAUACUGAGAUAAAAAAAAAAUCGAUUUUCACUACAAAUUGUAAAUAGUACAAAAUAGUACAAUUGUUAACAGCUGAUAAUGUUUCAGAAAUUUUUAUAAAGUGCAGGGAACAUUUUGUUUUCACAAUUGUGAUUAGCUAAUACAAUUUAAUGUUUGAAAGUUGUGUAGCGAUCUCUGAAACUCGCAGCAUGAUGCUGAAUGAAAUGUUCCUUGAAGUCUAAGUAGUUUUAAGAAUAUUCAAAGUAGUUUACUGUGUUAUGACGUGUCUUUAAACUAAUGUUCCUUGAAGUCUAAGUAGUUUUUAAAAUAUUCAAAGUAGUUUACUGUGUUAUGACGUGUCUUUAAACUAAUGUUCAUCGGUUCCUGUUACUACCGAAAUGUUUGUGUAGAGUGAUGUGUGAAUUGUUAAUAUGAUUCCUUAAUCAUGUUUAAAAAAUAUUAUAUUUCAUAUUUAUAAACUUAGUUACAAACUAAUGGAAUACUGUGGUAUGUACAUUCACAUAUAGUAUGGCAUUAUAAUCAUACUGACAAAUAAUUAUUGUUUGAAUGUUUUUCCACUUUCCUAGACCUUGCCGCUAAAACAAUUGAGGCAAGUGAUUAACUUCUCCCGUUAGAAUUAUGGGGAGCCAUUCAAGCUAUUAACAUGAAAACAUAUAAAUUAUUGGUUAAUUAAACGUUCUUGAAUG